AGAGUUUGAUCCUGGCUCAGGACGAACGCUGGCGGUGUGCUUAACACAUGCAAGUCGAACGGUAAGGCCCUUUCGGGGGUACACGAGUGGCGAACGGGUGAGUAACACGUGAGUAACCUGCCCUCAUCUCUGGGAUAACAGUCGGAAACGGUUGCUAAUACUGGAUAUGAGCCUGCAAGGCAUCUUGUGGGUUGGAAAGAUUUUUUGGUUGGGGAUGGACUCGCGGCCUAUCAGCUUGUUGGUGAGGUAGUGGCUCACCAAGGCUUCGACGGGUAGCCGGCCUGAGAGGGCGACCGGCCACAUUGGGACUGAGAUACGGCCCAAACUCCUACGGGAGGCAGCAGUGGGGAAUAUUGCACAAUGGACGGAAGUCUGAUGCAGCAACGCCGCGUGCGGGAUGACGGCCUUCGGGUUGUAAACCGCUUUCAAUUGUGACGAAGCUUUUUGUGACGGUAGCAGUAGAAGAAGCACCGGCUAACUACGUGCCAGCAGCCGCGGUGAUACGUAGGGUGCGAGCGUUGUCCGGAUUUAUUGGGCGUAAAGAGCUUGUAGGUGGUUUGUCGCGUCGGGAGUGAAAACUCAGGGCUUAACUCUGAGCUUGCUUUCGAUACGGGCUGACUUGAGGGAGGUAGGGGAGAAUGGAAUUCCUGGUGGAGCGGUGGAAUGCGCAGAUAUCAGGAGGAACACCGGUGGCGAAGGCGGUUCUCUGGACCUUUCCUGACGCUGAGAAGCGAAAGCGUGGGGAGCGAACAGGCUUAGAUACCCUGGUAGUCCACGCUGUAAACGGUGGGUACUAGGUGUGGGGGACAUUCCACGUUCUCCGUGCCGUAGCUAACGCAUUAAGUACCCCGCCUGGGGAGUACGGCCGCAAGGCUAAAACUCAAAGGAAUUGACGGGGCCCCGCACAAGCGGCGGAGCAUGCGGAUUAAUUCGAUGCAACGCGAAGAACCUUACCUGGGUUUGACAUAUGCCGGAAGCGUUCAGAGAUGGGCGUGCCUUUUUGGUCGGUUUACAGGUGGUGCAUGGCUGUCGUCAGCUCGUGUCGUGAGAUGUUGGGUUAAGUCCCGCAACGAGCGCAACCCUUGUCUCGUGUUGCCAGCACGUUGUGGUGGGGACUCGCGGGAGACUGCCGGGGUCAACUCGGAGGAAGGUGGGGAUGACGUCAAAUCAUCAUGCCCCUUAUGUCUUGGGCUUCACGCAUGCUACAAUGGCCGGUACAGAGGG
rnacentral:rRNA from 1 species